rnacentral:lncRNA from 1 species
GCCUCCCGAGUAGCUGGGAUUACAGGCGCCCGCCAUCACGCCCGUCUAAUUUUUUUGUAUUUUUAGUAGAGACGGGGUUUCACCGUGUUAGCCAGGAUGGUCUCGAUCUCCUGACCUCGUGAUCCGCCCGCCUCGGCCUCCCAAAGUGCUGGGAUUACAAGCGUGAGCCACCGCGCCCGGCCACUAAGGGCUUUUACAAUUUCUUAUUUAAACCUCAUCAUGACCCUAGAAGGGCUGCCAGCAACCCCCAUCCACACCCACCAAGUGUCCUCCUCUCCUAUCAGCCUGAAGGCGGAAAGCACCGCUCAAGCCUCCCGAGCGCCCCCUCGUGCACAGUCCUGUUCUUGCUGAGAAUCGCUGGCACAGCGCAUCUCUCUGAAAUGCAGACGUCUCCUCUGCAGCUUCCAGAAUGAGAGCAAAAUCAUCACAACGAGAGUGCCUUCUCUUUCAUGCUCCUUCUGGAUCUCAGGAACAACUCUAGGGGAUGGGUAUUAUUGUCUCCAUUUGCCAGAUGAAGAAGCAGAAGACACUGGAAAUUACUGAUGCUGAAACAGUUGCACCCUGAGCACCUCAACAAUUGAAUUCUCAGUCUCUAAGAGAAGUAACAAAGAGUAAGGACAUCUAACCAUCUACACAACUGUCUCUGUUUCAUAUAGAAACACUUAGCUAACGCUGCAGAUUUUUCUCAUAAGACACUUGCCAUGCCAAUUAACUUGGGCUGGGGUAACGAAUCCCUGGAUAAUAUGAAUUUAUAAUCUAACGAUGUUUUGCUAGUAUCAUAAGAGUAAAGAUGAAAUGCCUCUGUGUCACUCUUCUGCUAACAACCACUCAGCCCAAAAUGCAAGCUGGAUAAGCAGGGACUCCCUUUAGGCACAUGGUCCCACAGAACACACACGGCUGGUAUUCAGCCGCAAGAAGGAAUUUAUUAUGGGAGUUCCUAAGAGCAAUGGCAUGAGAGGAAUCAAUGUGAAAAAUCUAUAUUUCUUCUACCAAAAAUUGACCAAUUUAUUCUCACCUCCCAAAUUAUGGUUUGACUUUAGCUUUGCGGAACUUGAGGCAAGGUGAAUUUACACUGUGAUUUCUUUCCUUCAUACAGAUGAACACCUGACUUACUGACAAAGUUUCUCAUAUAUAUAUAUGAGAAUAUAUAUAUAUUCUUUCUUUUCUCAAUGCUCAUUUUUUUCUUUUUUUUUUUUUUGGAAGAGGAAAAGACUAAGGCUGGCAAAAUUUUCUCUAAGCAUACAUCAGGCAGCUAAAGGGUUUAAAUGAAAGUGCAAUUGAUUGCUUUCCUCCAGCUGGGGAGGGGAUUGGGGUGGGGUGGCAUGAAGGACCCUGUACUUACCAGCCUCCUACUGUGUACCAAACCUUCUCACAGGUGCUCAUCAAAUUUAAUGGCCAAAGCAACCGUAUUGGUCAUUAUAAUUGCCAUCUUACAGAUGGGAAAAAUAAGAGAAGAUGACUUGCUCAAGUUCCCAAGCACGUGCUAGCCUCAGGAUUUGAACCUAGAUCUGUCUGAACUAGGAAACCGUAGUGAUUUUAUGAUACCCUUUGGUAACCACUUGUUUGUAUAACCUUGCCUUCCUCCACUGUUUCACACAGGACAUGGUGUUCACUGCCCCACUGGGCAUUUUUUUUUUUUUUGAGACAGGGUCUCAUUCUGUCACUCAGGCUGGAGUGCAGGAGCGUGAUCAUAGCUCACUGUACUCUCAAACUCCUGAGCUCAAGUGUUCUUCCCAUCUCAGCCUCCUAAGUAGGUGGGACUACAGGCACACACCACCAUGCCCAGCUAAUUUUUUUAAAUUUUUGUAGAGACGAGGUCUCACUAUGUUGCCCAGGCUGGUCUGGAACUCCUGGUGUCAAGUGACCCUCCUGCCUCACCUUCCCAAAGUACUGGGACUAUAGGCAUAAGCCACCACACCCAGCCUUAACAUAAAUCUUUGCGUGGCACAAAGAGCUGGACUUUCUGCCCUUAGAAUUUGUCUCAGUUCCCAAAUCUGAAACUCCAGGGGCGCAAUCGUAAAUGGAAACUCUACUUGCAGGGGCCUUUAGAGAGGAGCUCUUUCUCCUCUCAGCUCUGUCUCUCCCACAGAUAUAACUGUGAGCACAAUUUUAAUGGUCUUUCACUAUACACAAUGAAGAACUGUUGAAGGAAGUUCUAAAUUCCAUGAAGCUCUGCCAUGAUUUCACUAUAAUUCCGUAAACAUAUGCUGAAUAUGAAUAAACGAAUAAACAAGAAAACCAAUGACUGUAUUCUGUGCUUCCCAGCCUGAGAAUAGUUUCUCAAUGAGUGAGGACUAAGGGAAGUGCUGGAACAGGCCUACUGCAGGCCUGGGCUCUUCCCCUCUUCCCACCUGCUUUAAAGUAAAGCCCUCCAGGAACAGAGAGGAAAUUGCACCAAUAAACACAAUAUUAUUUUAAAUCCUUGAUUUCCUGCAUGACAUAGCAAAGCAUUUGCUCUCGUGCCCACUCAAGUCAGCAUGAAAUCCCAUCCCAAAAAAGUGGAGGGGGGCUAGAGGGAGAUUAAAAAGAGAGCAUUUAUCACAACUGCAAUUAGAAUCAGAAUCAAAUUGUUUUAAAGAAACAAUGUCAACGUUUUACAGACUAUUCUUCUAUGAAGUAGGGAGUCUGGGAGCACCCAGCUGCUGUUUUCAACUUCAUAAUCUCAUUCUAGCUAAAUUAUACCAUUCAAUCACAAAAGUAUUAAUAUGCAGCACAAACUUGUAUAUAUACAACAGUACUAAAUAGUCUGUUAAAGGGCAAGUACCUAAUGGCAAAUGAGUUUAUUCAAACCAUAUUUAAUUUGCCCUUUAUCAUCACAGAAGACUAUGAAACCAUUCUUUAUUUCUCUCUGUGUUUUAAUGGUUGUCAUCUAUCAGGCUCUUGGGCAUCUUGUGCAUUUUGAUAAAACGUUAAUCUAACAGAUGUUCAGGGACACUCCUCUGUGGGUGGA